AAAAGACAGUGCCCAGGAAGCGCCUUUGAGGCAUUUUUGAUAACCGUCUUCUCAUCCUCUCUAGGCUGAAAGCACCUCCAGGCCUCUCCAAAGCUACCAGGGCAUUCCUCGCAAAAGACUUUAAUGGGACAGACCUGUGGGACAUCAGUCUUGGAGAUUCAGCGGAGAGGUGACAGUCACUAUGGGAGAGUAGUCCCCUGAGGGUAGUGUAUGUUCAGAGAACUCUGUAUGAGUCUUAAACCACUGGGAGCAUCCAUCAUCGACUGAGGGCUGGCUGUUGUGUGCCUGUCACUGUGCUCAUUUGUCCUGGGAAUACAAGGCAAGCGUAAUACAAUAUAGUUUAUUCAAAGGGUCUGUAGCUUCUGACCUUCAAAGGGGAGUGCUAAGG
rnacentral:lncRNA from 1 species